rnacentral:rRNA from 1 species
AUUGAACGCUGGCGGCAGGCCUAACACAUGCAAGUCGAGCGAGUGGCGGACGGGUGAGUAAUGUCUGGGAACCUGCCUGAUGGCGGGGGAUAACUACUGGAAACGGUAGCUAUUACCGCAUACCAUCCGAUUAACCCAGAUGGGAUUAGCUAGUAGGUGGGGUAACGGCUAACCUAGUCGACGAUCCCUAGCUGGUCUGAGAGGAUGAUCAGCCACACUGGAACUGAGAAACGGGCCAGAAUCCGACGGGAGGCAGCAGUGGGGAAUAUUGCACAAUGGGCGCAAGCCUGAUGCAGCAAUGCCGCGUGUAUGAAGAAGGCCUUCGGGUUGUAAAGUACUUUCAGUAGGGAGGCGUUACCGAAAGAAGAAGCAACGGCUAACUCCGUGCCAGCAGCCGCGGUAAUAC